GAAGUCUCACUGAGCUUGAGGCCACCGGAAAUCCCCCAACGCCACACCAAACAAUGUUCUGUGGUGGCAGAGACCUGCUCUCAGCUAGACUGCAAGAGGCAAAUGGACCUCUGUGCCUUGUUCAGGAUGGUAUCCCUAUCAUGACGGUCAGUCAAUAUUCGUGAUGAAGGGGGGAGUAAGGAGAUGGAUUAAAGAGGGUGAAAGACUAAGAAGAGGACCAAGGGCAGGGUCACUCCAUGGAUUUCUUGUGCUGCCCAAUUCAGCCUGACACCUUCUUCUCAGCAGAUCCAAGUUCAGUCAGUUAAUGCUGAGAGUGGUCCAAGACAGCUGAUAGCAGAGUGGACUUUCAGGACUGUUACUCACUGCCCAGCUGCAAAUGAUGACCCUUUGCCCCAGACCCAGUGAUGGUCACUGGCACCAGGUAGCAGCCUAUUCAUUCAACUUUUACCAGUGGUGACUCAGAAGAGGGUUCUGGUGGAGGAGACUUCUCUGGCCAGUACAAUAAUUCAGGCAUUUGAGAGUGAACAACACAUAUAAGGACAAUGGAAUUGGCUGGUCAUGAUUAAGGGACAUGAAGGGAUCAUUAGAAACUGAAGGCAGUUAACAUUUAAAAAAUAAGUGUGAGCACCAACAGACCUCUCUGACAACUUACAAUGAGACUCAUCUCCUGCACUGAAAGAUCAGACACAGCUGUGGAACAAAUUCGGGACAGCCAUACUUCAAAGACUAUUGAAUA